UACGAAGGGGGCUAGCGUUGUUCUGAAUUACUGGGCGUAAAGGGCGCGUAGGCGGCGACUCAAGUUAGAUGUGAAAGUCCUGGGCUUAACCUGGGGACUGCAUUUGAUACUGGGUUGCUUGAAUUCGGGAGAGGAUAGCGGAAUUCCCAGUGUAGAGGUGAAAUUCGUAGAUAUCGGGAAGAACACCGGUGGCGAAGGCGGCUAUCUGGACCGACAUUGACGCUGAGGCGCGAAAGCGUGGGGAGCAAACAGG
rnacentral:rRNA from 1 species